rnacentral:lncRNA from 1 species
CAUUUUGAGGGCGAAGAUGAAGAACAGGCCUGGUUUGUCUCCCAGGCUAUCUUUUGAAUAUUCUCGUUAGUGCAAAGGAAAACGUCAUUCAGUCAGCGCUUGCUGACUGCGGUCUAUAUAAGGUGUGGAGGGUGGAAACACGAAGGAUUACAGGGUCCCCGCCCUCCAAAGACUUCGAGUCCCUUAGGAAAAAUAAGAUGGGGCACCGAGAACUAAAACUAUAGGAGAAAAAGGAUCUGGUGAUUACUUCUCGCAGGAGAGCCAGAUGGAGGGUGAGGUGGGAGAGAAUUAGGGGACAUGUUUUAAGAAUUGUACUGUUAUACAGUGUUGCAGAUGCUGAUACCACGUUGCGAAUGUUGGGACCAGUAGUCCUCUAGUUGUCACUCUUGGUGCCCUCGUAUAGCUUUUUAACCAUAAGCUGACAGAUUUGCCAAGCAGAUACCAGGAAGGAGUGGGUCUGAGGGCUAGGCAUGGAGUCUGGAAGGUAGGGCUGAGUUUCUGGCCAAGCUAACUUGGUUACUCACUGGGUCUCCGUUUUCCUCUUUCUUAGUAAAAUGGAAAGACUUGCCCCCAGGAAUAUGUGAAAAUAGAUGAGACAUUGGAUGAGAAAGAGAAUAGGUUGUUUUGGAAGAGUGUAUGAGAAUAGGGCAUCAUAAACUAGUUGUUCCUUGGCCCUUGUGAUUUUAUUUAGUAAGUCCUUUGGAGUUCUUCAUAUUUAUUAAAAUCCAUCCAGGCAGGAUUCAUGCCGGGUAUUGGUUUGCUUUCUGCAGGAGAAAGCUUCGGGCUGAUGUGACGGCUGCUUUCCCCACUCUUGGAACAGAUCAGGUCUCUGCGUUAGUACCUGGAAAGGAAGAGCUCAACAUUUUGAAGUUGUAUGCUCACAGAGGGGAUGCAGUGACUGUGUAUGUGUGUGGUGGUAACCCCAUCCUGUUUGAACUGGAAAAGAAUCUAUAUCCAACAGAGCUGCCGACGCCUACUUUGUCACGCGGGGCAGUUCUUCCCCAAGCUUGGCUGCAGCCGCGCAAUGCGUCUCCUUAGGUUACCUGUGCCCCCGCUGCACUUUGCGGCUGUACACACAGAGGCCCCUUUUGAUCUAAGGUUUUACUGCUAAUCACUGUGAACACAGAGGGAAUAAAAAUAAUAAACAUGGGGAAAUUUCA